GACGAACGCUGGCGGCGUGCUUAACACAUGCAAGUCGAACGCUGAAGCUCAGCUUUUGUUGGGUGGAUGAGUGGCGAACGGGUGAGUAACACGUGAGUAACCUGCCCCCUUCUUUGGGAUAACGCCCGGAAACGGGUGCUAAUACUGGAUAUUCACUGGUCUUCGCAUGGGGGUUGGUGGAAAGGGUUUUUCUGGUGGGGGAUGGGCUCGCGGCCUAUCAGCUUGUUGGUGGGGUGAUGGCCUACCAAGGCUUUGACGGGUAGCCGGCCUGAGAGGGGGCCCGGUCACAUUGGGACUGAGAUACGGCCCAGACUCCUACGGGAGGCAGCAGUGGGGAAUAUUGCACAAUGGGCGCAAGCCUGAUGCAGCGACGCCGCGUGAGGGAUGGAGGCCUUCGGGUUGUGAACCUCUUUCGCUCAUGGUCAAGCCGCAACAAUGGUUGUGGUGAGGGUAGUGGGUAAAGAAGCGCCGGCUAACUACGUG
rnacentral:rRNA from 1 species